CUCUUUUACAAUCUCUUCCAUGUUGGUAAGCACCAGGUCCAGCAACGCUUCACCUCUUGUUGGUCUGUCCAUUACCUAAACCAGAAAGAUAUUGUCAGUGGACUCCAAGAGUCUCCUGGGUCACUUGCAGAUCACAAUGUUGUUUUCUAGCAGAUAUCUGAGUGGUUGAAAUCUCCCAUCCAGAUGAGAACCCGUGAGCACAAUGCCUCUUGCAGCUGAAGCAAGAAGGCCUUGUCAACAGCUCCCCUUGAUCAGGCAGCUUGGAGUAGACCCUGACCACCAGAUGCCCUUUACUGGCCCUGUCCCUAAUCUUAACCCACAAGCUCUUAACCUGUUCCUGACUGUUUCUCAGGGGCAGCUCUCAGCAGAUUAUCCACUUCUUAACAAGAAGAGGGCCACUCCCCCACCUCUCCAAUUUGCCUAUCCCUUCUAAAAAGUUUACAGCCCUCAAUCAUGGUAUUCCUCUUGUGAGUCAUCCCACCGUGUUUCCAUGAUAGCAAUAAGAUUGUAGUUUUCCAAUUGCACCACAGUUUCCAAUUCCUCCUGCUUACUUCCCAUGAUGUGUGCAUUGGUACAGAGGCAUUUCAGCUGAAAGUGCCAAAGGUCACAUCUCUGUUUGCCUUGGACCCUUUAUAGAUACAGAUAUAAAACCAGAUAAAUAUGACUGUUUGGAGCUAAAUGCGUGUGCUGCAAGAGUGUGUUAUUAAUGAGAAAAAAGCCUGAAGGCACAGUGACUCCUAGCUCAUGGCCAGCAGACCAUUGCUGUUGUUCUGGGGAAGCAAAUGGGAAAAGCAGAGCCAGCCAAGGAGCAGACAGCCUACACAGGGAUGGAUUUUGCUCCUGGCCCUUUCUCAGGCAAGGCGAGAGCUUUUCCUGAGUGCAACCCACAAGACUGGAUCCACAGCUCCUCCGCCUGCAGCACUUCAAGACUUCCAGGUUGGAGACAAUGCGUCUGGAAAUUUGGGCUCAUUUUACAUGCAUAAGCAAGACUUUCUGCAUCGUAUUCAGAGAUGUGAACCCGAAAUCAUCUCUUCUGGGACUACAAGGAGACUAAGGAGGCUAACAGUCACUCUUUGGGCUGUAGCCACCACAACUCCAUUCCUAUGGCCGUCUCCCAAAUGACUGAAGACCUCUGGCUUCUCUGGAUGCUCUUUCUCAGGUUCUGUUGUCCUGCGGUGUUUCUUCCAAAGUACCUGACAAACCCUGGAAAUGGCACUGGGUGCUUGAGUCCAGGUGAACAAUACAGAGUGAGGAAAGGAAUGCUCAUUGGCAUGACUUCCAGCCUCAGACUUGUAGUGAAGCCACAGUGCGGUGUUGGGAGCUGAGCACAUCCACCUUUGGUAUCUGCCCAGAAAAUGGUCUGGCUCCAUGGAUGUAUUCACUGGGAAUAGCUGUAUAAGCUGGAAUACAGUCAAAGAUACAUGGCAGAGAAACCUGCCCUGUGAAUAAAGCCUUUGUUAAGAGGCAUUCCAUCUGUACAUGAUUUCAUCAGCUCCAUGAAAUGUGCAGGACAUUUAUAUGGUGAAUUAGGCACAGCUCCUGUUUUGAGAGAGAAAAUGCUUCUGUGUGCUUUUCCACCGAAGUCUGUUGCUACACGAAGAGGGGAGGAAACCUUCUGCAAUGCUGUUACUGUUCUCAGCCACAGGACAGGGCAAGCAUUGGGACCGUGCUAACAUGGCUAUAAAAAUAACGUGCAUGUAAAAAGCAUCAAAUGCACAAAAAAAUUGGCAUCGCCCUCUUCUUUGCCUUCUCUCCCUUAAAUGUGGAGAUACUUAAAACAGUGUAAAUAACAUUCAAGACAGCUAAAGAGCAGUCCACAGUGCUGAAACACUCCUGCCGUCCAAAGCAGCUCCAUGCCAGCUAUUUCAUUUACCAUAUGUUUGGUGUGGUUUUGGCAGAGUCAACAUGAGGAUUUUUGGGCAGGCCUGCAAAACAGUUUUUCCCUUCCUCCACCCAAACGUGACCCAGUCCUGUCUGCCAUGAUCACGCCAUUGCACAGGGUCAGCCUGGCUGUUUUGGGCAGAAUUAGUCAGAGGGGCAUUUGGAAAGAUGCCCAAGGAGGGCUGAUUCAUUUUCCAUAUAAGUGGUUGCAUUAUGGAGCAGGAAGGAGAAGGAAGACGCAAUGUUUGGGAUGGAGAUGCUGGGUAAUGCUGAAGGACCACACAGGGAUUAUAGGAUUCCUUCUCCAGGUCCAAGGCAGGUGUGGUUGGGAUGCACUGGCUGUGGGGGCAAGCUGCCAGCCCCAUGGCACUGUUUUCAGCCAUCCUGCAGGAACUGCCAGAGGCUGUGAACCAGUGACUGGAAACGUGGAGCUUUGCUCCUGGGGUCGUCUGGUUUCAGAUGUGGAGAACACGGGCUCCAGGCAGCCCAGUCCAGCAGAGAACUGCCUGAGCUGUGAGCAGACUCUCCGGGGUGGGGCUUAAUUUUCCUUAAAAAUGAGUGGGACGCAGUGCCCAGACAUACAGUCCAGUUGGUGCCAUCCAGCUAGGGCCUGGGACUUAGCUACCUGAGCUGAAUCACAGUUUUCUGUGUGUCACAAGAGAAGCUGGACUUGCUCACAGCUGCGAUGCAAACGGGUUCUCUUGAGCAGAGAAGUUCUGAUGCAGCCCAACAGUCAGAGCGCAGGUACAAAAUCCAUAGCAAGCUUCAUGACAGUCAGGUCAGGCCAGGACAAGAGCACUGUGAGGCAGUGUGUGGUGGGAGAAGCCAUCCUCCUCCUGUGAGACUAGGGAAAAAAAACAGAACCUGAAUGGAAAAUGUGCAUAGCCAUUUGAGCCAGUGAAGAAAAUUUCCCUGCUAAUGUGCCACGGGAACUCUUCAAGCACUAGAAGUAGCCAGCCUUUGAUCUCAUGCCUUUA
ensembl:lncRNA